CUUCAUGGAGAGGCUUGCAACAGUGAGGAGGAAAAGACAAAAACUUCCCUCUGGAUUGUGCAAAGGCUGAAAUAAUAUUCCAGGGAGUAAGUCCAAAAGGAAAUUUCCAGCAAAGAUUGACAAGAAGAAUCUAGAGUGAAUGUGCUACAUGAGUUCUGUACAGAAACACCCAGGAGAGGCAUAUUAAAGGAGGUUAAAUAUUCUGAGAUAUCCAUCAGCUAUACCAAGAAGCUAAAAAGAACAAGGAAAUAAAAAAAUGACUUUCCAGCACAAAUGAAGGAUUCACUGCGAAACACCUUUCUUCCACCCCUAACUGUCAAGAAAAUUGUGCCCUCUCCUAACAGAAGACGACCUGGCCACAAUGAUCCAUGCCUUUGUUAUUUCAAGACUGGUCUACUGCAGUGCUCUCUAGUACCUGUGCUACAGCCAGGGUGGGAGAAUUUGAGAAUACACUCAAGUGUGGACACAGCCACUGUACUCUGUAUCAACUCUUUUGUAGCUGGCCUGCCACUCAAGGAACAUUAACCAGUAUUCAGCAUAAGCCUUAUUUACCAAAUGGGUUGGCCUACACUCCUUCCUUCCUUGGCUGGACUCCUGCCUCAUUCAGUGCACA